rnacentral:rRNA from 1 species
UACGUAGGGAGCAAGCGUUGUCCGGAAUCAUUGGGCCUAAAGCAUCCGUAGCCGGUUCUACAAGUCUUCCGUUAAAUCCAACUGCUUAACAGGUGGGCUGCGGAAGAUACUAUAGAGCUAGGAGGCGGGAGAGGCAAGCGGUACUCGAUGGGUAGGGGUAAAAUCCGUUGAUCCAUUGAAGACCACCAGUGGCGAAGGCGGCUUGCCAGAACGCGCUCGACGGUGAGGGAUGAAAGCUGGGGGAGCAAACCGG